UAGGGAAUAUUAGAAAUGGACGAAAGUCUGAUCUAGCAACACCGCGUGUGCGAAGAAGGCCUUCGGGUCGUAAAGCACUUUUUGGAAGGAAUAGGAAGGAAUGUACUUCCAGAAUAAGUCUCGGCUAACUACGUGCCAGCAGCCGCGGUAACACGUAGGAGGCAAACGUUAUCCGGAUUUACUGGGCGUAAAGCGCGUGUAGGUGGUACUAUAAGUAGGGCGUGAAAGCUCCUGGCUCAACUGGGAGAGGUCGUUCUAAACUACAGAACUAGAGGAUGGUAGAGGGAGGUGGAAUUCCAGGUGUAGCGGUGGAAUGCGCAGAUAUCUGGAGGAACGCCGGUGGCGAAGGCGGCCUCCUGGACCAUUCCUGACACUCAGACGCGAAAGCUAGGGUAGCAAACGG
rnacentral:rRNA from 1 species